GUUCAUUCCUGAACAUAUACUCGGAACAAUACAGAGAAGAUUAGCAUGGUCCUUGCGCAAGGAUGACACGCAAAGUCGUGAAGCGUCCCAAAAAUUU
rnacentral:snRNA from 1 species